rnacentral:lncRNA from 10 species
UACCUUUUUGUGGCUCACAAUGUCCCCUUGUUCAUUUUGUACAGGAAGACUUGUGGAGUGGCAUGCAUGUUUCUGUGGCUUUAAAUGGCAAUGCGAGCUGUGAAAACAGUCACUUCUGAAGGAGUAACAAUUAGUCCUUACACUACGAUGGCAAAGAGAAAUGAAGCAUACUAUCUUUAGUACUUGAAUAUAACAUCUCACUAUGAUGGAUCAAAAGAUGUUGUCUAAGUUGUUUGUCAGGAAAUGAAGACUCAGCCUUGAACCUAGCUCAAACCAGUUGAGACCACCAAGCCUUCAAUGUGGGCAUAUAUUCUAAAAGGAAUCUUCCAAUCAGUCUUGUAGCAAUGAGUAAAGUGAAGAUAGAUCACAAUGCUAGGGAAUAAAAUGGAUGAUGCACUUCAGCCAGAAGAUAAGCAAUGCCAAAGAAUGAAAUGGGAUAAGAUCGUCAAAGAAAGUUCUGAAAAAAUUGAUUACAGGAAUGCUCACAUUGGCUUAUUCCAUGCCACUAUUGUAGUGGAUGGUGUCUGGCCUCAGAACACUAUACACCAAAAUACGGCAUCUUGACAGCUGAGAAAACCACAGCAGCAAGGUCACUCUGACCUUUUCCCAUAUUUCUUCCCAAAGGAUGCUCAUAAAGAAAUUCUCUGACCUACCUUGCCUGAAACUAGGUCGUAAGAUCCUCAUUCCAGAGAAAUCCUGUACUAUACCUGGAGGCCAAGAAGAAUCUGAACAGUUUCCCCAGUAUAUUACCUUCAGGAUAACUUAGCAAAAACGUCCUCACCAGAUGCAGACUCCUUGACCUUGGACUUCUCAGCCUUCAGAACUUUUGAAAUUUCUGUGUCUUGGAGAUCUUCCUCUACUACCUUAUAUGGUGGGGAAAAGAGACCCUCAGUCAAAUUCUUUCUUCUGAGGAGGCAUGGACAGAAGUUGCUACGAACCCGUAAGGAUAGGCCACCAGUAACACAGAAUAACUCUGAUCUCCUCCACCGUUAACCUAUUCAUCCCAGUUUCUCAUCUUGCUCUCAAGAUACUUCUCUCUGAUGCCUCUAGUUUGUAGCAACUCAGCAUUCUGCAAAGACUCUGCUCCAGCUGGGCAAGUAACCUUGUUAUUGCAUACACAGGUAUGCUCAGAGGACAGAAGGCUGGAAGGAAGGGAAGAAGGUAGAAAAACAAGAGUGAAAAAGAGGGUUUCCGAUUUAUGGAUGUAUAUUAAAGCAUAUUGAAGAUAUCAGGUGAUUUCAUCCCUUUAUACACUUCAGCAUAUAUCUCCAAAUGGUGAGAGAGACAGACACUGGGAGUGCUCAUGCGCAGAGGAAAGGCCGUAGGAGGAUGCUAUAAAAAGGCUGUUGUCUGCAAGCCAAGGGGUGAGGCCUCGGGAGAAACCAAGCCUGUUGACACCACGAUCUUGGACUUCCACCCCUUCAGAACCAAAGUUUCAAGCAUACACAAAAGAAGGGAAAUAACUAAUUAAUCAUAUCUUGCAUGCUGUUUCAUCCUUGUGAAGGCAGUAUGGCUUAAUGGUCAAGACUGCACAAUCUGAAACUAAACUGCUCGGCUCACCUCAGGAAUAGAUGCAUAUUCUGAUUGCCUCUUCUGGAAAGACUUAUCAGAAACUCAAAAGAACACAACCAUCUGUCUCUCACCUACAUGUGACCUGGAAGACCCCAGUUGGCGGCAGUGGGUUGAGCAUUUUAUUGCCCUGGAAAAGAUUGUGGUUUUGUUGCAAGGAAGAAGAGAAGAAUGACAUUUUUGUGGAAGAAUUGGGUUCUGUCUCCCAAUUAGGAUAGACUUGACUGCAACUGAAAUAGCCUUGAAGUCUUCCUUGCCUGCUUAACUCUCUCCUGCAAUUUCUCUUUGACAAAUGAAACUGUAUGUGAUGGCAGUGAUAUUACAAAGCUAUAAAAUUCUAUGAUUCUUUAUUCAUAAAAUUGCAUGAGAAGAUUGGGUAUCCAAUUGGAGAAAAUAUUUCUGUUUCACACUAAUUGCAAAAAUAAAAUCCGAGUAAGUUAAAAAUAUAAAUGCU